AGGAAGGGCCGGCGUCCGGGCUGGCUGGGCAGGGAGCGGGAGCGGCAGCAGCGAGCCGGGGACCCCGGCGCCGCCCGCGUGCGGCCCCGUCUGAGGUCUGGCAGUCAGAGACAGCCGGGCGCCCACGGCCCGAGCGCCCACGGCAGCACCAUGCCCGCACUCCUGGAGCGCCCCAAGCUUUCCAACGCCAUGGCCAGGGCGCUGCACCGGCACAUUAUGAUGGAGCGGGAGCGCAAGCGGCAGGGUGAGCCGGGGCCAUAGCAGGGGGACGCACGGCCCAGAAUGGCUCCUGUACCUCAAGGCUGGCCUCAACCCACCGGCCAACCAGCGCGCCCGCUGCCGAGCGCAGAGGAGGGAAGGAAUUAUAGCCCCGUUGUGGUGGGAUUUAAGCGUCCUGUUCCAUGCUCCAGAACCCUUGAGAUGGGAAGGACCUUGGAGAGCACCUGAUAAAGCCUUUCCGUUCCCUAUUGCCGCGAUGGGGAGCUUGUCCCCUCGAGGCAAAGAGCACACAGGCGUGUUGGGAUGACUGGGUUUUGCUGGUCUUCAAUCUGUAACGUUGGAAUUGUUUUCACUACCCUGCCUCUUCUUCAUUCUGCCUGAUUCUCCAGAGGAAGAAGAGGUGGAUAAGAUGAUGGAACAGAAGAUGAAGGAAGAACAGGAGAGAAGAAAGAAAAAGGAGAUGGAAGAGAGAAUGUCACUAGAGGAGACCAAGGAACAAAUUCUGAAGUUGGAGGAGAAGCUUUUGGCCCUACAGGAAGAGAAGCACCAGCUUUUCCUGCAGCUCAAGAAAGUUUUACAUGAGGAAGAAAAACGGAGGCGAAAGGAACAGAGUGACCUGACCACCCUGACAUCAGCUGCAUACCAGCAGAGCCUGACUGUUCACACAGGAACUCAUCUCCUCAGCAUGCAGGGGAGCCCUGGAGGACACAAUCGCCCAGGCACCCUCAUGGCAGCUGACAGAGCCAAACAAAUGUUUGGACCCCAAGUGCUUACGACCCGGCACUACGUGGGCUCAGCAGCUGCUUUUGCAGGGACACCAGAGCAUGGACAAUUCCAAGGCAGUCCUGGUGGUGCCUAUGGGACUGCUCAGCCCCCACCUCACUAUGGGCCCACACAGCCAGCUUAUAGUCCUAGUCAGCAGCUCAGAGCUCCUUCGGCGUUCCCUGCAGUGCAGUACCUAUCUCAGCCACAGCCACAGCCCUAUGCUGUGCAUGGCCACUUUCAGCCCACUCAGACAGGUUUCCUCCAGCCUGGUGGUGCCCUGUCCUUGCAAAAGCAGAUGGAACAUGCUAACCAGCAGACUGGCUUCUCCGACUCAUCCUCUCUGCGCCCCAUGCACCCCCAGGCUCUGCAUCCAGCCCCUGGACUCCUUGCUUCCCCCCAGCUCCCUGUGCAGAUGCAGCCAGCAGGAAAGUCGGGCUUUGCAGCUACCAGCCAACCUGGCCCUCGGCUCCCCUUCAUCCAACACAGCCAGAACCCGCGAUUCUACCACAAGUGACCAUCAGAUUAUAUCUUCAACACCACACCCCCCACCCCAUCGUGGGUGAGGGUACCCCCUGUGUGUCCCAGGCCAAUAAAAUCUACCUGCCACUGCC
rnacentral:sRNA from 1 species